rfam:Spongiibacterium flavum strain DSM 22638 genome assembly, contig: Ga0070522_104
CAAUUUGAGGAUAGAUUUGACUGAUUGCAACCUCAUUUUGCUGAAUGGUUUUCAGUUUCUAAAAAUGCUAAAGCAGUUUAC